rnacentral:rRNA from 1 species
ACCCUACGGGGGGCAGCAGUGGGGAAUAUUGGGCAAUGGGCGCAAGCCUGACCCAGCAACGCCGCGUGAAGGAAGAAGGCUUUCGGGCUGUAAACUUCUUUCGUCAGGGACGAAGCAAGUGACGGUACCUGACGAAUAAGCCACGGCUAACUACGUGCCAGCAGCCGCGGUAAUACGUAGGUGGCAAGCGUUAUCCGGAUUUAUUGGGUUUAAAGGGUGCGUAGGCGGGCGGCCAAGUCAGCGGUAAAAUUGCGGGGCUCAACCCCGUCGAGCCGUUGAAACUGGCGGGCUUGAGUGGGCGAGAG